GUGAGCAAAAAAAUAAAUAAAAUAAAAUAAAUAAAUUAGAGAAGCGGGUGUGAGAAUAGGUGCUGCCCGUUGGCCUGUUACAUAAAAGAAACAGGGGGUGGUGGGGUAAAGAUCAAAAGUAAAAAAUAUAAAGAGAGAGGUGUACUUUAUAUGAAGUGUAGUGGGCAUGUACUGUAUUAAGCAAGUUUUAAUUUCCAAGAAAUCAGUCUUGCCCCUUCCCCAUACAGUCAGUAUUUAAAC